rnacentral:tRNA from 1 species
GCGGAAGUACCCAAGUGGCCGAAGGGGCUCCCCUGCUAAGGGAGUAGACUGGAUAAAACCGGUGCGAGGGUUCAAAUCCCUCCUUCCGCGCCA